UGCAUCUGAAGCCUGACGAGGAUGAGAACCUCCGGAGGGCAAGAGGUUCGACCCGAGCGAAGCGAGAGAACGUUGCGUCAGCAACGGCCCGCA
rnacentral:sRNA from 1 species